GACUGUCACGUGACCUCGAUCCUCUGCAGGUGCCGGAAGGUUAGAAAAAAAUUUUUCUCCUAAACCAAGGAAGCUGACGUUCAGAGGCGGGAGUUCCUCAAAGUACAGUUUCUUGUUUCCAUUGAUAUGUCUACACACAAUGAGGAACAUAAACUUCUGAACUUUCCAGUCCUUCAUCAGUGCCGGAUGCACCUCAGACCGUUACGCGUCACUGCCUGGACAAACUUCAAACCCUCAGAUGACCAUGUGAAUAACCUCAAGGAGAAAUCAUUCCAUUGUCCAGACCACCAGAUAUCUGAAGAUCACCGUCUUGGAGCAAUCCCAGGGCUAAGAAUGCAGGACUGAUUCUUCUGAAGAAGGUACUUUGUACCAUAAGCGCUCUCAGCUUUUCUUUCUCCUUUGGAACAGUUCUAGCUUUUGCCUAGCUGUGUUCCAGUUUGCAAACUCUAAGACCUUUAAGCAAACCUUUGUCAUUUGUUUCUAGCCAAAGACCCCUGUAGUGCUCAGGGCCUGAUGGUCUUGUCAGCAUCUGACCCAGUGCUUGGGGUUCAGGGCACAGUCUCGAUCCUGUACCAUCCCACGUAGACUAGUGCUCAAGGAAGAAGCCUGAGCCGCGAAAGGCCGCCCAGAUGCAGCCUGGCCUCUCUACCUGCCACAUCCAUACACCGGUCUCAGAGAUCUCACAUUCGCUGUUUUCCCUCUCCAGCCAGACACAACCUGGUAACCUGUUGUAAUUCUCCCUCCCUCCGAUCUGCUCUCUUCCCUUAAUCGGUUCUUUCAGUCCCCUGGACCUGAUUAUUUACCCAGUUUCCUUAAAUAGUCCACAUUGCAUUGUGUUUUGGACUUCUGUUACUUUGUGUGUUUGGGUACAUUGUAUUAAUUAUCCAGUGCUGCAUAACAAUGUACCCAAAAACUUAAUACCUUAAAGCAAUCAAUAGUUUUAUCUCCUGGACGUAGUUUUUGUUGAGUAGCUUAGCUGGAUGGUUCUGGCUCAAAGUCUCUCCUGAGGUUGAAAUCAAGCUAUCAGCUGGGGCUGAAUUCACCUGAUGCCUUGGCUAGAACUGUUGGAUCCCACUCCAAAAGGCUCACCCACAUGCCAGGAAAAUUAGUGCUGGUUGUGGCCAGGUGGUCUUUGGUCCCUGAUACAUGGACCUCUCCAUGUUGCAUAUCCACACAACAUAACGACUGGCUUCCCUGGAGAAAGCAAUGAGAGAGUGGACAAGAUGGAAGUCACAAUGUUUUUUUUUAUGACCUCGUCUUGGAACGCACACUGUCGCUUCUGCAAUAUCCUAUUGAUUACACAGAUCCACCCUGUCGAGCAUGGCAAGGGACUACACAGUGGUGCAAAUAUCAGGAGGUCGGGCUCUUUGGGGGCUAGCCAACUACCUCAUCAAGCCAUCUUAUCGCCACGUUAGCCCCACGUCUAGAUUACAACAUGUCCAUUGUCUGUGCUGUCAUCCACGUGUCCCAGGAAGAAGGCUUGUAGCCCGAAGUUCCUCAUUUUAACACCACCAAAGCAAAGUCUAAUUUUCCUUCAAAGAGGGAAAUGGCCCUUCUCACUCUGAAGUCAACGCCUCCACCACACCUAUAGCUUCCUUCUUUCCCAUGGAGCCUUGCUGUUAGGCAGUUUCAAUCUAGGGAAAACCCCUCUGUUGGCUCCUGACCUCUACUCUCCUCUGCCUGGUUGACUUUUGCCUCCCUGGACUUCUGUAUCUCCUGGAGAACAUCUGUUUACCGUGGACUUUGGACAUUACAUCUGACUCAACUCUCUGGUGUUUAUGUGCUUUUCAUUUCUGUGACUUAGCAUAGCUGACUCAUUGCUGCCCUGUGUGUGUUUUGCUUCCCUUUUCGACUGGUGGUGGUUCAACUGAUCACAUAGCCUGAUAUCAUGCUAAUGUGCCCUAGAAACUGCAGCGUUGCACUCUCCCCAGAUUUAUGUCUUUGAAAUGUUCACAUACGCCCAGAUCUUCCAGUAAGACAGUAAUACACAAGCAAACAAAUAAAAGAAAAAUCUCUAACUACCUGAA